rnacentral:lncRNA from 1 species
GAAUAAUCAGUCUAGAGGAGCCUCAGAGGGCCUCCUGGGUUCCAUGCCCAGCUUUACCACUCAUCAACUGUGGGACCUCAGGCAAGUUACUUAACCACUCUGGAUCUAGUUUCACAAGCCAACACUGCAAGAAUGACCUCUGAAGGUUUAUGAGGAUUAAAUGCAGUAAUACGUAUGAUGCUUCCAGGACAGCGGCAGCUAUGGAAGAGAAUGGUGAGAGACACACAAUGGAGGAAGAGGGAAAAGACCCUGGAGGAGAAAUUCAGCCUGGUGGACUUCUGAAAAGGUUCCGCUUGUAUUCUUCCUAUAGAGUUAAUGGGCUGAGGAGUAAGGCAGUAACGGUCGGUGCACCAGCUUACAGCAGACAGAGAAUGUGACGACAAGGGGCAGGGAGCUGAGAGGAUCACAAGUGUACAAGGCUGAAGAAAUGGAAACUCCAGUAUUUGGGAUCAAGAUUCAAAGUUGGAAAGUCUGGGCCACUAAAGCCUAUGAGUCAGGAUGUGCAGCAACACUCUGAGUGAAGCCUAGAUCCUUCAUCUUCAAGCAUGAAUUUUACAAAGAGAUUCUUCUACUCAAAUUCAUUUCUUUUUCAUUAAUAAAAUAAGCCUUUAUUCUGUACUUACUAUGGGCCAGGAAUUAAGUCAUAGAUUCUGUCUCUAAAAAUACAAUGUGUUCGGGGAUAGAAACAUAAAUAGAAGCAGUAGUGUAAUGGAGGAAAACACUGGGUUCUCUGGGAGAAGUACUGCUGCUCAAGUUGUGAACUGCACAAAUGCAGGAGGUGCCAUUCACACAGAGUGGAAGUAAACAGCAUUCUCCAGAAGUGUGAGAUGUGGCAAGGGCACUACCUGAAACAAGUCUCGUGCCACAGAUCGCUUUUUGGAGGAAAUCACUCUUGGACUAAGUCUUAAAAGCUCCUGGACGGAGUUAAAAAAAGCAGAAUUUAGCCAUACAGAAAUUUGCUGAGCAAGACAGGGAGGAAACGGGAUAGAAAAGACCUCAUUCCCAUAGAGGAACUUAAAAAAAUAAAACAUAAACACCGCGAAUAAUCACAUCAUUGCCAGGCUUAAAGGACAUUUGCCACCAAAUAGUGAGUCAUAUAUUUAAUUGGGAGGCCUCCGACAGAAACAGUGAAAGCUUUCUCACUGUUGCCCAGAUUUACUGAAUGUGAUGUGCACAAAGGGAUUUUUCCAAACAGAACAUCUGAACAGAUUUCUUCUCAUUGAGCUGGAAUGGACUGAUUCAGGAAGUAGCUUAAGGAAACUCAAAAUUAAAGAUGGCGUCAGGAAUAGAAAGGAUACCACACGUGGUCAAGAGAUAUCUGAAGACCAAAGGCAUUUUUAACUAGUGAAGUAAAUGGGAGCUUGAG